GCAUCUGUAACUCAACUGGCAGAGUGCCUGCCUUUUAAGCAGGAGGUUGCGGGUUCAAGUCCCGCCGGAUGCACCA
rnacentral:tRNA from 1 species